UACGUAGGGUCCGAGCGUUGUCCGGAAUUAUUGGGCGUAAAGAGCUCGUAGGCGGUUUGUCGCGUCUGCUGUGAAAUCCCGAGGCUCAACCUCGGGCCUGCAGUGGGUACGGGCAGACUGGAGUGCGGUAGGGGAGAAUGGAAUUCCUGGUGUAGCGGUGGAAUGCGCAGAUAUCAGGAAGAACACCCGUGGCGAAGGCGGUUCUCUGGGACGGUACUGACGCUGAGACGCGAAAGCGUGGGGAGCGAACAGG
rnacentral:rRNA from 1 species